rnacentral:rRNA from 1 species
UACGAAGGGGGCUAGCGUUGCUCGGAAUCACUGGGCGUAAAGCGCACGUAGGCGGAUUGCUAAGUCAGGGGUGAAAUCCUGGAGCUCAACUCCAGAACUGCCUUUGAUACUGGCGAUCUUGAGUCCGGGAGAGGUGAGUGGAACUGCGAGUGUAGAGGUGAAAUUCGUAGAUAUUCGCAAGAACACCAGUGGCGAAGGCGGCUCACUGGCCCGGUACUGACGCUCAGGCACGAAAGCGUGGGGAGCAAACAGG